rnacentral:rRNA from 1 species
UGGCGGCAGGCCUAACACAUGCAAGUCGAGCGGUUGAAGGAAGCUUGCUUCCUGAUUCAGCGGCGGACGGGUGAGUAAUGCCUAGGAAUCUGCCUGGUAGUGGGGGACAACGUUUCGAAAGGAACGCUAAUACCGCAUACGUCCUACGGGAGAAAGCAGGGGACCUUCGGGCCUUGCGCUAUCAGAUGAGCCUAGGUCGGAUUAGCUAGUUGGUGAGGUAAUGGCUCACCAAGGCGACGAUCCGUAACUGGUCUGAGAGGAUGAUCAGUCACACUGGAACUGAGACACGGUCCAGACUCCUACGGGAGGCAGCAGUGGGGAAUAUUGGACAAUGGGCGAAAGCCUGAUCCAGCCAUGCCGCGUGUGUGAAGAAGGUCUUCGGAUUGUAAAGCACUUUAAGUUGGGAGGAAGGGCAGUCAGCGAAUACCUUGCUGUCUUGACGUUACCGACAGAAUAAGCACCGGCUAACUCUGUGCCAGCAGCCGCGGUAAUACAGAGGGUGCAAGCGUUAAUCGGAAUUACUGGGCGUAAAGCGCGCGUAGGUGGUUUGUUAAGUUGAAUGUGAAAUCCCCGGGCUCAACCUGGGAACUGCAUCCAAAACUGGCAAGCUAGAGUAGGGCAGAGGGUGGUGGAAUUUCCUGUGUAGCGGUGAAAUGCGUAUAUAUAGGAAGGAACACCAGUGGCGAAGGCGACCACCUGGGCU